GUGCCCUUUUAAGGUUGUCGUGGUACUUUAAGAGGCUAACAUAAAACCCAGAGAGGAAAACCACAUCUCCUUUUUGGAUCCUGUCUGGAGUCACAGAU